CAAUAGCUCAGCUGGUAGAGGAGGUCCUUCGUAAUGAUGGGGUCGAGGGUUCGAGUCCCUUCAGCGGC
rnacentral:tRNA from 13 species